GAUGAAGAACGCAGCGAAAUGCGAUACGUAAUGUGAAUUGCAGAAUUCAGUGAAUCAUCGAGUCUUUGAACGCACAUUGCGCCCCCUGGUAUUCCGGGGGGCAUGCCUGUCCGAGCGUCAUUGCUGCCCUCAAGCACGGCUUGUGUGGUGGGCCUCCGUCCUCCUCCCGGGGGACGGGCCCGAAAGGCAGCGGCGGCACCGCGUCCGGUCCUCGAGCGUAUGGGGCUUCGUCACCCGCUCUUGUAGGCCCGGCCGGCGCUUGCCGACACAUCAAUCUUUUUUCCAGGUUGACCUCGGAUCAGGUAGGGAUACCCGCUGAACUUAAGCAUAUCAAUAAGCGGAGGA
rnacentral:misc_RNA from 1 species